AAGUCGUAACAAGGUUUCCGUAGGUGAACCUGCGGAAGGAUCAUUAACACGUAUCCAACGUUAAAACCCCCCGUGAACCUUCAGUGUGCUCGUACGCUUUGUUAGAAAGUAGCAAUCCCUGGUAAAUCAUCGCCGAACAGUUUUGAUUCAAUCGCUAGAGGCCGACACGGCCGGCGACCGGGUCACCGGGCUCACGCCCCUUAAUAACCUUUGCAUGAAAACGGGCCUGCGCUUAAUUGUGCGGCCAUAAACCGAACAACUGUUAACAAUGGAUAUCUUGGUUCUC
rnacentral:misc_RNA from 1 species